AGCCUUCUGUAUCCGUGCUGAGAUUUCGUCACACACCAGACUACAAGG
rnacentral:pre_miRNA from 1 species